UCGCAAACAACCCAUGUAAUAUAAAUAAAAGGGAAAGGAUACAUAGUUGGCUUACAAUCGCCACUUCACACAAUUACAUGAAUAAAGCAUUACAUUCAUCCAAAUACACUCAAAGUCCGACUACGGAACCAAAAUGAAAGAAGACUACCCCAAAUGCUACACAGAUCCCCGAUUGACCCCAACUGGGCUCCACUACUGAUCAACUAGAACGAAACAACACAAAGGACAAGACCUUCAUUGACCUCCUCCUUGAGCUUGGUUGCGUCACCUGCACGGUUUCAUCGGCACCUGCAAACUGGUUUUUGAAGUAUCUGUGAGUCACGGGGACUCGGCAAUCUCACACGCUCGCGAUCAAGACUAUUUAAGCUUAUAUGUAAGGUAAAAAGGGUAUGAUGUGCAGCUGCAGCAAGCGACUAGCAUUUAUGGUGGCUACCAUAUUCGCAAAAGAGAGCGAGAAGAGAAGGCAAAAGCACGGUCGAGAAACUAUGAUCAAGAAGUGAUCCUAGAACAACCUACAUCAAGCAUAACUCCAACACCGUGUUCACUUCCCGGACUCCGCUGAGAAGAGACCAUCACAGUUACACGCACGGUUGAUGUAUUUUAGUUAAGGUCAACUUCAGGUUUUCUACAACCGGACAUUAACAAAUUCUCAUCUGCCCAUAACCGCGGGCACGGCUUUCGAAAGUUCAAAUCCCUGCAGGGGUGUCCCAACUUAGCCCAUCACAAGCUCUCACGAUCAACGAAGGAUAUUCCUUCUCCCAAGACAAUCCGAUCAGGCUCGGCAUUCAGGUUACAAGACAUCCUCGACAAUGGUAAAACAAGUCUAGCAACACCGCCCGAAUGUGCCGAUAAAUCCCGAUAGGAGCUGCACAUAUCUCGUUCUCAGGGCACACUCAGAUGAGACAUCCUACGAGUAAAACCAACCCCCAAGUUGCCCCGAGGUGGCCCCGCAGUCUACUCGGUCGGACCAACACUCAGAGGAGCACUGGCCCAGGGGGGUUUAAAUAAAGAUGACCCUUGAGUCUGCAGAACCCAAGGGAAAGAAAAGGCUAGGUGGCAAAUGGUAAAACCAAGGUUGGGCAUUGCUGGAGGAGUUUUAUUCAAGUCGAACUGUCAAGGGGUUCCCAUUAUAACCCAACCGCGUAAGGAACGCAAAAUCCGGGAACAUAACACCGAUAUGACGGAAACUAGGGCGGCAAGAGUGGAACAAAACACCAGGCAUAAGGCCGAGCCUUCCACCCUUUACCAAGUAUGUAGAUGCAUUAAUUAAAUAAGAGAUAUUGUGAUAUCCCAGCAAGUAAACAUGUUCCAACAAGGAACCACAUCUCCAUGUUCCAACAAGGAACAAACUUCAUCUUCACCUGCAACUAACAAUGCUAUAAGAGGGGCUGAGCAAAGCGGUAACAUAGCCAAUCAACGGUAUGCUAGGACAAAGUGGGUUAGAGGCUUGGUUCAACAAUAUGGGAGGCAUGAUAUAGCAAGUGGUGGGUAUCGCAGCAUAGGCAUAGCAAUAGAGCGAGCAACUAGCAAGCAAAGAUAGAAGUGAUUUCGAGGGUAUGGUCAUCUUGCCUGAAAUCCCGCACGGAAGAAGAACGAGUCCAUGAAGAAGACAAACGGACGUAGUCGAACGGGUCCUCACAAACGCGAUGUUAUCGGACCCAAGCCGAAGAAGCAACACCGGAAAGAAGCACACAACAUAGUAAACAAAC
rnacentral:lncRNA from 1 species